AAGAAAUUGUAUUUUCCUAGGUAUCAAAAAUAUAGUAAAUAAAAGAAAUAAAAAAAGAAAUAGUGGGUUCCUUCGUUUCUAUGGUUACUUCUUAAACGGUGAGGUCUUCUCUAUACACCGGAGCCUUUACUUUAUACUUUAAUUUAAUAUAUAUUUAAUCAACUAAUUGAUGUUAUUGGGAACUUGUAUUGUUCACACGCUUUGGCUCUACCCAUGAAUUAUCCAGUAAUAGGUCUUUCACAAUCAGAUCUACCUAUACCGUAACAGUAUUUAAUUAUGAAAAUUUGCUGGGUAGAUGACCCUCUUAGUCCAUUCUUGCCAGAUUGGGAGCCUAACUAAUCUUUAUGUUUUAUGCUUUUAAAAUAAGAUUUACUCCACUUAAUGGAUAACUAUUUGUUACCAAUGGAGAAUUUCUUAUCAUCUUAAAUUUAGGUGAUUGGAUUUACACCAACGGAAACUAUAAACUUUAUACACAAUAGAGGGAUAUGAAAGAGUUUUUUUAAAUAAUGAACGGAGUUCCUUUUUCCAUCCUAUCCUAUUCACGGUACUGAUUAUUGAUGCUGUAAAAGUCGUUUUGGGGGAUUUCAUGACAUUUCUGAUUGGCUACCUUGUAUUUCUAAUAAGCUGUUUAAUAGUUAGCAUGUUGAAUCGUAUACAUAAUAUGAUGGGUUGGUUUAGAUUGAUCCUAAUCGAAUGAUGAUGAAUUACUUCUAUUUAAUAGAAUAUUUAAUUUAAUAGAAUAUUCAAUUCGAAGAUAAAAUAUUUUUUUCAUUGAACCGCUACAAGAUCAACAAUUCCAUAAGCUUGGGCUUCUGUUGCUGAUAUAAGAGCAUCUUUUUCCAUAUCUUCAGAUACAACCCAGAAGGAUUUGCCCGUUCUUUGUACAUAAACCCUUGUGAGGGUUUUAUUGAUGUUACCUUAUUUAGACGUUACCUUAUUUAGUGUAACAAAAUCAGCUACUGAUUAUCCCUAAAUCAUGUAUCUAAUUUCCUUAAAUCUGUAAUCCUAUAAUUAGGGAUCUCCCCUAUUAUUAGGCUAGUAAUUAAGAGACAAUUAGGACUCCUUUCUCUAUAUAAAUAUUGUAUAGGUUCAUUGUUAUGAUUAAUGAAGAUUGAAUAAUUAUUUCAUGUGUAUUGUUCCAGUUUUUCUUCCUUUAUUUAACUUGGUAUCAGAGCUUUAGAGAUUACAUUAGGGAGAGAAGCCGCCAAUGAAUCUUGUAUCAUCUUAUAAAUAUCAUUGCGAUCAAAUAAUUGUGGUGCCCUUUGUGUUUCUGGAGUGUGUUGUGUGCCCGCAUCCCUUGUCAUUGCCUGAAAGGCUUUAUGAGGAGUUGAACGUUUUACUGAACCAGAUUUCUUAGGACAUUCCAGAAUAAUGUGACCAUCCUUCUUACAGUAGUUACAAUAAUUUCACUUCUUGCAAUGGGAAAUGACAUGCCCUGUUUCCUUGCAAUGAUAGCAUUGAAUUGGUUUGUUAGAGUUUCCCGAGGAAGAACUUUUGCAUGCAGCCAUGGCAAUGUCCACGAAAAGGGAAUUUUCCAUAGAGGCUUGAGAACCUAACCGAGUUUCUUCUCGAAGUACUUCAGAAACCACCACAUCUAAAGCAGGUAGUUUUUCCCAGUUGAGAAUGCUGGCACGUAAAGGCUCGAACUCAGACCUGAGUUUCAUAAGGAAUUGGAUAGUCCUUGUCCUCUUCGUAGUAGUCAUGGAGUCCUUUAGUCUAACGGCACUAAUUGAGGCAGCAAAAAUUUGAUCUUGCUCUGCCCAUAAUCUGAGUAAUCUAGAAUAAAAGCACCAGACACUUUUCUCACCUUGUGUCGAUUUUGCGAGUAUCUUUCUAAUUCAAAUUCUCUAGCCAAAUUUUGUUGGUUACCGAGGGUAUGUAGAUGACUCCAUAUUUCAGAUGCUUUCUCAAAAUAUGACAGUUCCAUAGCUAUAUCAACAAAAAUGGAAUUGACAAGCCAUGUUAUGAUUUUGCCGUUGUUAGCUUCCCGGAUUUCUUUUUCUUCGUCUUCUGUAGGUAUAGCCUUUGAUCCAUCUAGAAUACCAAGGAGGACUUUACCUCUAAUGCAAGCCCUGAAAUGGAUCUUCCAGAUCGGAAAGUUAUGUCCGUCGAAUUUGGUUGACAAGACAUCUUGUGGAUCCAUUCUGUUGGAAUGAAAAAAAUUUGGAGUCGAAGGGAAUAAACAAACAAAUCCAAAGAUUACAAGAAGAGUAACAGAUGUGGAUAAAGAAUCCGAGCCAAAGAUGAAUCAAACAAAUUUUCUAAAAAAAAUGAAUACUCAGGUCUCAUAGAGAGAAAAAAACCAAGGCUUUGAUACCAAGUUAAACAAAGGAAGAAAAACUGGAACAAUACACAUGAAAUAAUUAUUCAAUCUUCAUUAAUCAUAACAAUGAACCUAUACAAUAUUUAUACAGAGAAAUGAGUCCUAAUUGUCUCCUAAUUACUAUCCUAAUGAUAGGGGAGAUCCCUGAUUAUAGGAUUACAGAUUUAAGGAAAUCAGAUACAUGAUUUAGGGAUAAUCAGUAGCUGAUUUUGUUACACUAAAUAAGGUAACGUCUAAAUAAGGUAACAUCGUCACAAAGUAUGAGUUUGGACAAAAGAUAAUUAUGUCGACUUCUUGACAUGGCCUUAGUGAACAAAUCAGCCAAUUGAUCUUUAGAGGAUAUAUAUCUAAGAUUAAUGCUCCGAUCUUCAACUAGUUCUCUGAUGUAGUGACAAUCUAUAUCUAUGUGCUUGGUAUUUUCAUGAUGCACGGGGUUGGUUGCUAUUCUGAUUGCACAGGUGUUGUCUCCAUACAAUAUGGUUGAUCCUUCUAAUGGUAUGGCAUAUUGAUUUCGCUGCAUCUAACCACAUAACAGAAAAUCAAAACUUUUUUCUAAUUUAUCUAAAACAAGUUCCACACAUGAAAUUGUUACUUCAAAUGGCCAUAUUUUAUCUGCAUCGGGUAUGGGUUCUAUUAAACCAUUUUCAGAAGUUCUUUGUGUACCGAAACUUAUUGCAAAUCUUUUAUCCGUUGGAUAACUUGUAGAAUAGAAUUGCUUGGUUAUUUGUUCCUCUAAUGGUUGUAUUAUUCAGAACAUAUUGACAGGGAAAACAAUGGCCGGGGGAGUAAGGUUGGCAGGCUAUUUUUUCUUCAAUCUCCGGACAGAAUUUCAUCAUUGCUUUCUUUCAGUUUCAAAUAAAUACAUUGAUUUUUCAAAUAAAAUGUGGACUUUAUGGCAUCUUCGUUUAGGCCAUCCACAUGAUCCCCGUUUAAAUUUAAUGUUGAAAUCCUGUAAUUUGUUGGGUGAAGAUUCACUAAUUUUGCCCUCUAAAUUACCUUGUGAGAGUUGUGCAAAAUUAAAGAGUCAUAAACUUCCUUUUCAAUUAAGCAAUACUACUUAUUCUACUCCAUUUGAUUUAAUUCAUAGUGAUGUUUGGGGACCUUCUCCAAUUAUAUCUCGUAUGGGUUACAAGUAUUUUAUAAUGUUCAUUGAGCAAGCAUUUCGUUAUACAUGGGUUUUCUUUUUGAAACACAAAUUUGAGGUACCAAACAUUGUCAAAAAAUUUUAUAACCUCAUAGAAACCCAGUUUGAGAAAAAAAUCAAGAUUUUUCAUUCAGAUUCGGGAGAAGAGUAUGUAAAUGCAAACCUCACAAUUUUUUUUCAAGAAAAAGGCAUUGUUCAUCAACUUUCUUGCCUCUAUACACCGGAACAAAAUGGCGUGGUGGAACGUAAGAAUAGACAUGUUGUUGAAACUGCCUUAUCUCUUCUUGAUACAUCAAAUGUUCCAAAAACAUUUUGGGUUGAAGCAAUCCAAACGUCUAUUUAUCUUAUAAAUAGAUAAUCAUCGUCUGUUAUAAAACAAAAUUGCCCUUAUUUUAUCUUUUUUAAAAAAUUGCCCGACUAUUCGCACCUUAAAGUAUUUGGUUUUGUAUGUUUUGUUCUUCUUUCAGACCAUGAACGCCAUAAAUUAAUCUCAAAAGCUGUUAAAUGUAGUUUUUUGGGGUACAAUGAUAUCCAAAAGGGGUAUUUAUGUUAUGAUUCAACACGUCACUUAUUGAGAAUAUCUCGACAUGUUAUCUUCUUUGAAAAUUCUUUUACUUAUACUAGUAAAGACUCGCGAUUGUCUACUAAAUCCUUUUUGGAACAAUUCACGACUCAUGAUUCUGCUAGCCAUAACAACCUACCCGUUGGUUCAUCACCAAAUUUGUCCUCUGCCACAACAGGUACUACUUAUAACUUUGAUCCCUUUUUUGAUAAUGAUAUUACUUCAAUGAAUACUAUCUCUUUACCUGACCAACCUGACUCGCAAAUGUUUCUUUAAAUCAUAAUAAUCAACCUCCUCUUUCUCAAAAUAUCAUUGACCCUGUUAGAUGCUCAUAUCGUCAUGCUUCUCCUCCAAGCCGAUAUGGAUAUUCUACAGGUGAAUAUGGUCGAUCAUAUGCCUUACUAACAACCUUGAAUUCUAUAGUUGUGCCAAAUACUUGCAUGCAGGCUAGUGGUCUGAAAUGUUAGGAAGAUGCAAUGAAUGAAGGACUAGCUGCCCUUGAGGAGAACGAUACGUGGGAUAUGGUGGAUAGACCAACAAAUGCAACAAUUAUUGGAAAUAGAUGGGUGUACUCAGUUAAGAUGAAAGCUGAUGGAUCCCUAGAUCGAUAUAAGGCAAGAUUGGUAACUCAAGGUACAAGCAGGAGUAUGGAAUCGACUACGAAGAAACCUUUGAUCCAGUAGCCAAGAUGAUGCCAGUACGUAAUAAGAAGUUGGAAGUUACACCAACUGGACUUCAAGAAUGCUUUCCUACAUAGAGACUUGCAAGAAGUGAUCUACAUGAAUCCACCACCAGGUUACAAACAUUCUAAUCCAAAUCAGGUGUGUCGUCUUAAGAAAUCUCUUUAUGGAUUAAAGCAGGCUCCUCGCUCAUGGUUUAAAAAAUUCCGAACUACAAUCCUUAGUGCUGGUUUUUCUCAGAGUAGCUCAGAUUAUUCAUUAUUUCUAUGUCAGUCUGGCUCAGGUAUUACUAUUCUCCUUAUUUAUGUAGAUGACAUGAUUAUUACAGGGAAUGAUAAGGUUGGAAUCUCUCAUUUGAAAAAUCUAUUACACUCCUCAUUCAAGAUGAAGGACCUUGGAAAGCUAACAUAUUUUUGGGGUUUAGAGGUAAGUUAUGGAAAAGAAGGCAUAAAAUUGAGUCAGCAAAAGUAUGCAGAAGAUCUUGUUAAGUUAGUUAAUCUAACUGAUAAUAAAAAAGUUCAUACUCCAAUGGAAGCAAAUACUAAAUACAAAAAAGAGGAAGGAGAGCUUUUUGGAGAUCAAACUCUGUAUAGGCGUCUAGUUGGAUCACUUAUAUAUCUUACUAUGAGUCGUCCUGAUAUCUCUUAUGCAGUACAAGUGUUAAGUCAAUUUAUUACAAAACCCUACAAGAUUCACUACUCAGCUUUGCUCAGGGUUAUUAGAUAUAUAAAAGGUACAGUAAAUCGAAGUCUCUUAUUUCUAUCAUCUUCAUCGUUGGACAUAGUGGGAUAUGCUGAUGCGGAUUGGGCAGGAUGCCCUGAUUCAAGAUGAUCCACUAUAGGUUGGUGCAUAUGUCAUGACUCGGCCCGAGGCCCUGGCCAAGACGGAAUGAUAUCAGAACCGCUCCUGUGUCGUCCCUAUCGAUAUGGGCUAGAGUUCAAAUUGAGUGUAGGCAAAUCUUGGUAAGGCGGGGCAAACCUCAGUCCUGAGUCUAGGCAAAUCCCAUUCGGUGGGGAAAACCUCAGCGAGGACUCUGAGUCCAUAAGGGGGGUACAUGUAACACCCCAACUUAGGAAGGAGUCCCACAUCGAUAAAACACAGGAGGGAUGCUGGGUAUAUAAGUGAGAAAACCUUACUCCCUAGUGACACAUUUUAAAGCCGUGCGGGCCUAGGCCCAGAGCAGAUAAUAUCACUAGUGGGUUGGGCAGAGACAGGGGUAUCUCGGGCCUGUGUGGUUUGGGAUGCCCGUCGCGGCCAGGGCCUCAGGCCGGGUUGUGACAGCAUGAUACUUGGAUCAUGCAUGAUCUCUUGGAAGUGCAAGAAACAAUCUCAAACAUCUAAGUCAUCCACAGAAGCAAAGUAUAGAAGUAUGUGAACUGCGUGCUCUGAAAUCAUUUGGCUACGGAGGCUAUUAUCAAAACUUGGCAUCAAAAUAGAAGGAUCAACCAUAUUGUAUGGAGACAACACCAGUGCAAUUAGAAUAGAAACCAACCCCGUGCAUCAUGAAAAUACCAAUCACAUAGAUGUAGAUUGUCACUACAUUAGAGAACUAGUUGAAGAUCGAAGAAUUAAUCUUAGAUAUAUAUCCUCUAAAGAUCAAUUGGCUGAUUUGUUCACUAAGGCCAUGCCAACAAGUCGACACAGUUAUCUUUUGUCCAAACUCAUGCUUUGUGAUACACAACAUAAGUUUGAGGGAGGGUAUUGAUGUUACCUUAUUUAGACGUUACCUUAUUUAGUGUAACAAAAUCAGCUACUGAUUAUCCCUAAAUCAUGUAUCUGAUUUCCUUAAAUCUGUAAUCCUAUAAUCAGGGAUCUCCCCUAUCAUUAGGCUAGUAAUUAGGAGAAUUAAGACUCUUUUCUCUGUAUAAAUAUUGUAUAGGUUCAUUGUUAUCAUUAAUGAAGAUUGAAUAAUUAUUUCAUGUGUAUUGUUCCAGUUUUUCUUCCUUUAUUUAACUGGUUUUAUGCAGUUUCAACAGUUCUUCCGCUUUCACAACACAUUCAGUUAUGUGUUCCAUAUAAAAACUUCUGGAAGGUUUAUGCAUCAUUACCCUGAUGAUAUAACAAAAUAAAAUAUUCUCCUAUCUCACAUGAUAAAGCAAAGAGAAAAUAAAGAUAAAGAAUUGAAAAAGAUAGAAUUGAACAACCGUACAGGCAUCUUUUGUGCAUACGACUCUAAAAGAUAAUUGACCCCCUCCUUUCUAUUGAAGAAAGAGAAAAAAUAGAAUCUAUGAGACUCCAAUGGGUAAGUAAUCAAAUUGUCAUCCUUCCUUUCAGAGGAUUUAAAAAAUACUAUGAUGGCUCUGUUGCUUUAUAUGUUUCUUUUUUCUGUUUUUUGUCUGUGAUUCAACAAUCCCAAAGUUUCUUUUUAAUCCGAUCAAAUAAGGGAAAAAACUUUUUUUUGUACUCUUUCAUAACAUAAAUAUUGUUAAAAACUCUAUGGUAUGAAAACAAAAAAGUUUGUGAUGUUUAUAAGAGAAAAUCGAAAAUACCCCUUAUCUCAUACUACUCUCUCGAUACAGAAUCUAAUGUUUUGAAAAAAAAAAUACAAAAAUUUCUCACAUCGAAUUAGAAGUGUCAUGAUUAGUUCUUGGUAUUCAUAUGGCGAAGGUAUAGUCUUUUUUUUUCUCUCAAAUAAAAACCUCAUUGGCUCCAAGCGUGAGGGAAUGCUAGACGUUUGGUAAUUUCUCCUCCGACCAGGAUAGAAGAUCCUAUUGAAGCGGCUAAUCCCAUGCAUACUGUAUGGAUAUUUGAUCGCACAAAUUGCAUAGUAUCAUAAUAGCCACCCCACGUAUCAGCCAGCCCCCAAGAGAGUUUAUAAACAAAUACAACUCUUUGGUCUCAUCCUCGAUACUGAGAUAUACCAUAAGACGAAUAAGUUGAUUCAAAAUCUCGCUAGUAAUACCUUGGCCUAAAAAAAGUAAUCUUUCUCGAUAAAGUCAGUUGAUUAGAGUAAAAUUGUGUUCCUUAGGAACCGUGCAUACACCUUUUGAUGCAUACGGUUCAAAAAAAUUGUGAAUCAAUGUAUAGAUUCCAGUCCUCUUUCUUUUUUUCUAGAAAGGUUCUUUGUUACUUCUAACGAAAGAGAUUUUCUUCGAUUUUUCAAUAAAGAGGAAUUUUGACUCCUUUUAAUAUUUCUGUUUUCGAUUUUCCAGUAUAAAAUUAGAAGUUAUAAGAAAGGGUCAUUAAACUUAUCGAAUUAACUUCUCAUUGAUGUAUUAUUUCAUCGAGAUUUAAUCCAAACCACGAUGGUAUUUUCUUGUUCCUAAAUGGGUCUGUUACAUUUUUUUAGGUUUAUGCUCUACUCCGGGUAAAGAUCCGCCCAAUUUGGAUUUGUACAUAUAGGAGAAAUGCUCCCAUUACCAUUUCUUUUUGUGUUUUUUUUUUCAAUUCAUUUUUUACAAAUAUUUAUUAGAGUUGAGAUAACUUUGCUUGAAAAUUAGGAUCUCUUCACAAAGAAAAAAUAUGAAUAGCAAUCAUAGAUAUCUUACCAAUCCAAUUGGGUUUUUUCUAAACGGAGCCUGCAUACUUCAUUUUUUUAGUCCAACCAAACCAACCAUAAAUUAUUCUAAUUGAUAAUAGUAAUAUGAAUCCCCUCAAAAAUGGAUCUAAUUGCACUUCACGCUCCAAAUUUUUGAUGAUUCAAUUUAUCGUUUUAUCGUUCUUGGGCGAAACGGGGGAUAUCUCGAUCGGGGGAGAGAACGGGGAAAUACCAUAUGACCCAAUAUAUCUGACAAGUCGCACUAUACGUCAACCCAAAGUGGAUUUGCCUCUCCAGGACCUCGGAAGGGAACUUUCGGAACACCAAUAGGCAUUAAAUGAAAGAAAGAACUAAAUACUAUAUUUCACUUUGAGGUGGAAACGUAACAAUUUUUUUAUUGUCUUUAGAAUAUUCAUAUUGGUUCUUAUCGUAUUUAUUUUAUCCAUAGAUUCUAAAAAUUCCUAAAGAAAGACAGAAUGAAUAAACUCAAAUUAUUACGAAUAGGUCUUUCUAAUGAUAAGUAAGUAUGGACUCAUUCGCUCAUAGAAAUGAGAUCAACUUUCCCAUUACGUAUUGGUACUUAUCGAGUAUAGAAUAAAUCUAUUUCUCUUUGUUCCUACAAAUAGAGUUGUUUCAUUAUUACCACCAGAAUAGAACACCCUUGAUUCGGAAAUAAUCGACUGAACAAGAAUGACCCAUAUGAUAGUCAUAUUAUAGUCUUUUUCAAUGCAAUAAAGUCAUAUAGUGUCCAUUUAUCUUUGAUAUAAGGGGUAUUUUCAUGCGUUUUCCUUGGUAUCGUGUUCAUACCGUUGUAUUGAAUGAUCCCCGUCAGUUGAUUUCUGUUCAUAUAAUGCAUACAACUCUGGUUACUGGUUGGGCCGGUUCGAUAGCUCUGUAUGAAUUAGCGGUUUUUUUAUCCUUCUGAUCCUGUUCUUGAUCCAAUGUGGAGACAGGGUAUGUUUGCUAUACCUUCCAUGACUCAUUUAGGAAUAACCAAUUCAUGGGGCGUUUGGAGUAUCACAGGGGGGACCGUAACGAAUCUGGGUAUUUGGAGUUAUAAAGUUGUACCGGGAGCACAUAUUGUGUUUUCUGGCUUAUGCUUUUUGGCAGCUAUCUGGCAUUGGGUGUAUUGGGAUCUAAAAAUAUUUUGUGAUGAACGCUCUUUGGAUUUGCCAAAGAUCUUUGGAAUUCAUUUAUUUCUCUCAGGGGUAGCUUGCUUUGAUUUUGGUGCAUUUCAUGUAACAGGCUUGUAUGGUCCCAGAAUAUGGGUGUCCGAUCCUUAUGGACUAAUGGGAAAAGUACAACCUAGAAAUCCAGCAUGGGGCGUGGAAGGUUUUGAUCUUUUUGUUCCAGGAGGAAUAGCAUCUCAUCAUAUUACAGCAGGAACAUUGGGCAUAUUAGCGGGCCUAUUCCAUCUUAGCAUUCGUCCGCCACAACGUCUAUACAAAGGAUUGUGGUAUGGCUCCAGUAGUAUUACUGUUGUCUUUUUUGCAGCUUUUGUUGUUGCCGGAACUAUGUGGUAUGGUUCAGCAACUACCCCGAUUGAAUUAUUUGGGCCCACUCAUUAUCAAUGGGAUCAGGGGUACUUCUAGCAAGAAAUAUAUCGAAGAGUUAGUGCUGGGCUAGUAGAAAAUCAAAGUUUAUCAGAAGCCUGGUUUAAAAUUCCUGAAAAAUUAGCUUUUUAGGAUUACAUCAGCAAUAAUCCAACAAAAGGAGGAUUAUUGAAAGCAGGUUCAAUGGAUAACAGGGAUGGAAUAAGCGGUUGGAUGGUUAAGACACCCUAUCUUUAGAGAUAAAGAAGGGUGUGAACUUUUUGUACGUCGUAUGCCUACUUUUGUUGAAACAUUUCCGAUCGUUUACUAGACGGAAAUGGAAUUGUUAGAGCCGAUGUUCCUUUUAGAAGGGCAGAGUCGAAGUAUAGUGUUGAACAAGUAGGUGUAACUAUUGAUUUCUAUGGUGGUGAACUCAAUAGCAUUAGUUAUAGCGAUCCUUCUACUGUGAAAAAAUAUGCUAGACAUGCUCAAUUAGGUGAAAUUUUUGAAUUAGAUCGUCAUACUUUGAAAUCCGAUGGUGUUUUUCGUAGAAGUCCAAGGGGUUGGUUUACUUUUGGGCAUGCUUCGUUUGCUGGCUCUUCUUCUUCAGACACAUUUGGCAUGGUGCUAGAACCUUGUUCAGAGAUGUUGUUGCUGGUAUUGACCCAUAUUUAGAUGCUCAAGUCGAAUUUGGGGCAUUCCAAAAACUUGGAGAUCCAACUACAAAAAGACAGACAACCUGAUACAACAUUGCUUUGGUAUCUUUCUUUUUCCCUUAUUUUCUUUCUGUUACUUUUAUUGACAUAGGGUACUAGAAAAAUCUUUAUUUGAAUCAACUUCGUUUUUACUCUUGUUCGUUCUUUAUCUGGAAGAUGAUAAAAAAAAGAAAAUAAAAAAAAAAAAAACAGGUAUGAAAGCUAUAACUGUAAACCACGAUUGAAUCUAUGAAAGCAUUGGUUUAUAUAUUCCUCUUAGUUUCGACUCUAGGAAUAAUUUUUUUCGCUAUCUUUUUCGUGAACCGCGUAAAGUUCCAACUAAAAAGAACUAAAAAGAUGAAAUAGUUUUUCAUUAUCUCAGUUGAAUUACUGAGCCUCCCGAUAUCGGGAGGCUCAAUACUUCAACUAGUUUCCAUGUUCCUUGAAUAGAUAUCUUUGUUGUUGAGAAGGUUGCCCAAAAGCGGUAUAAAAGGCGUACCCAGUAAAACUUACAAGUAAACCAGAUAAAAAGAUGGUGAAUAGGGUUGCUGUUUCUUUGGGGUUAUCUGAAUCUCAUAUCAUGCCUAAAUCUGUAAUGUUCUAUGGCUGAAUGAACUGAUCACCUCCUGGAAUCUCUGGCACUCCCGCAUCUAAACAUAUAUAUGUUAGAAAACAUGGGAAUGCCAGUGCUGUGUCGGUGCUUACUGCUCAGUCGCAGAUCUCUCUCCCUAUCCACUUGGCUACAUCAAACUCGUAGCCCUCCAUGAUGUCCACAACCAAGGCUACUCGGUUUGGACUCAAUACAUUGUCCCCAUAAGUGGGACUCAACCUAUGAUGCACAAGCAUCCACCACGCCUUCACCAAGAAGUUCAAGCCUUCAUAAUCGAUGACGAGGCGCCAAUACCUCCAACUACCCAAGGAGCCUCCUCCCGAUUUUCAGCAAUAAUAUCGGCCAUCCACUAAAAAUGAGUAAGCUCAUCCUUUGAUCCAGUCUAUUUUACCUUUACCUUCUGCAUUGAUGUGGUAGUCAAUAUCAACUGUGUUGGCUGGUAACUAUAAUUGUGGCCCAUGAAGUAAUCUUGAAAUCAUUUUUGUAGAGAUGUUCACUUGGACACCUCUAAUCAUGCCAUCUACGUAUGGAUCACCACUUUUCCAUAGUCGCCCUAUGGAUACAACCUCUUGAGAUCCAUCUGAUAUGAUGUGUAGAACUCGCCACUUCUUACUGCCAUAUUUAUAUUAAUGCACUUUUCAAUGACACGUAAACAGGGUAUUUCUGGGACUUUAUAGAUAGAGCAAAAAAAAUAUAUCCUAAAUAUUUUUAAUCAAUCAUUUAUCAGUUGGUGGGGGAAUAUAUAGUAUUUCAUUGCUACAAGCAUGGAUUAUUGAAAAUAAUAAGACAUGGAUUUGGAUAUUUCCCUUUAACUAUUCAUGUCAACUAAAUAGGGGGAUUGAAAGAAAUUUUGUGAAGAGAAAAUGGAUUAUGGGAGUGUGUGACUUGAAUUAUUGCUUGGUUUGUGUAGAUAUAUGCCUGCCACAUGGGAAUUCGCAACCAAAUGUGUUUUUGUUUCAACUGCCGUGUAAGCCCUAUACAGAGGAUAGGCUGGUUUGCUUAAAGGGAAUCUUUUCUAUGAUCAGGUCCGAAUCAUGUUGUACAUGAGCAGACUUCGUAAGGUCUAGUAUAAGUGAACUAGAUAAAAUGAAAUCUUGAUUCUGUUUUAUCUAGUUCACUUAUAAGAUUUAAUAGUAUGUAAUUGUAUUCAUUUCCUCUUCAUUAACACGAUCAAUACUACUAUCGGAGCGAAACAAGGGAUCUAAAGAAGAAGAGAAUCUAGACUAUAUUAGUAACAAUCAAACCUUGUAUGUGUAUCUCCAAGCAUUUUGGAGAUAAAUACCAAUUAGAAGGUCUGAGACUGAUACAAGAAAAUCAAAGAACUCACGAAAUGACUCAAAACAGUCCACAAACACACUCCAAAAUAAUUCACAAAUCACUAAGAUCCUUGGACCGAUUGGAGACCUCUCUCAGAUUCUCAAUACAACACAAGAAUGAGAACCCAAACUAGAUUAAAAACACAUAAAAUGAAGAACAAGAAGACAACAAUUUCGUCCAACAAGAACAAACACAAAUCGAGAGUAGAGAACAAGAACAACAUAACAAGUUCGCAAGAAUGAAAAGGAUAGAUAGUGAGACAAAAUUUACUACAAGAUUAAGAACCAAGUGUAUUUCAACACCAACCCCUAAUUAAUGUAAUAAUCAACACCACACUCUUACGGUGACAGCCAAGGGAACCAAUGCACCUCAAGAUCCACCAUUUCCAAGCAAAGGUCAAUACUAGCUUUUCCAACCACUAAACUACAAUGGCUAUUCCAAGCCCUAACUAAGACGACACUAAGGUGUUCUACUCUCAAAGAGAGGACUUUAAAUGUUUCAAUAUUUCGUCCUUCAUAAAACUAAUGAGAGAAGACCUAAAAAGUCCUACUUAUAGUAUAUUAUAAAAGAAGGCAAAAAAGACUACACUACCCUUAAUGACCAAGGAUGGCCUUGAUGUGUUGAAAACAAUAUGAAUUGUCCAAAAUUUCCUUAAGUUAAGUGAUCAUAAUUCCCUAAAUGAAGGGAACCAAAACUGUGAACCAACAAAGGUGAUCCAAACUUGAGUCCUUAAGUCUUCAAGGCUCCAAGCAAUCUUCCACACUCGGGUUUGUUCAAUGGUAGGCUCAAAAUGUUCCCUCCAAGUAUGAUCCCAUGCCCUCCAUGCGAUCAAAUCUUGAUUCUUCACAUAGUGACUUUGAAUGAUGUCUUCGAAAGCUAAGGCGACCAUUAUUCUUGUAUCAGAGACGACCCAAAAAGCACUUGAUCAUAUCAUGAUCUAAUUUGUAAGCCUACUAGGGUCUUGAGUAUUUACUAGUAAGAACAGAAUUCUUUGUUUUGUAAUGGAUAGUCGCAGUUCCAUUAAAAAGAAUUCAGUCAAUUUUUUCUUACAUUGAACCAUUCUUCUAUCAUAUAUGUGUGUGUAAAAACAGGUACCAUAUAAAUAUUUUAUAUAGAUAUAUGGAUUUUCAUUUAGUUAUUUUUAUUCUUGCUCGAGCUGGUUGAUUAAAAAUUAUCAUAUCCAGUUUCCUUAGGGGAUGGAUCUAUAAGAACUCACCUAUCCCAAUAACAAAAAAAAAACUGACUUGAAUGAUCCUUUAUUAAGAGUUAAAUUGGCUAAAGGUAUGGGUCAUAAUUAUUAUGGAGAGCCUGCAUGACCCAAUGAUCUUUUAUAUAUUUUUUCAGUAGUAAUUCUACGUACUAUUGCAUAUAAUGUAGGCUUAGCCAUUUUAGAACCAUCAAUGAUUGGUGAACCGGUAGAUACAUUUGCAACCCCUUUGAAAAUCUUACCUCAAUGGUAUUUCUUUCCUAUAUUUCAAAUAUUUCGUACACUGCUCAAAAUAUUGUUGGGGGUUCUUUUAAUGGUUUCAGUACCUGCGGGAUUAUUAACAGUACCUUUUUAGAGAAUGUUAAUAAAUACCAAAAUUCAUUUCGCCAUUCAUUAGCGACGACUGUCUUUUUGAUUGGUACCGUAGUCACCCUUUGGUUGGGCAUUGGUGCAACAUUACUUAUUGAUAAAUCCCUAACUUUAGGUCUUUUUUAAAAUUUUUAAUUUUAAUUGAUUCAAUUGUGAAAUAACACGACAUGUGUAUCUAGGGAAUAAUUUCUUCAAAGAGAAUUCUCCCUAGCUACAUCUAAUCAAUUUAAUUCUGAAUUUAUUUCUAAUAUAUGAUGUUUUAAUUGUGCUAAAGAUUUCAAUCUAUUUUGACUAAAUAAGUCCAAUAGAUUUAAAACUUAUUUUUUGCCAAAUCAAUUACGAAAUAGUUUUCUAAAGUGCCCAAUAUCUGUUUUAUAUCUUCGCUACGAAAAUGUUCAAUUUUCAUAAGAUCUUCUGAUCUGUUAUUCAAAAGGUCCAAUAAUGUAUAUAUAUCGGACAUUUUGAGGCAAUUAUAGAUCCUGGAAGGCAAUUCUGAUUGGUCAAUAAAAAUCAUUUUCAAUGCUAUUUUUUUUUUGUUUUUUUAUGAGUUUAGCCAAUUUAUCAUGAAUGGUAAAAAGGGAUAAAGGAACCGUGAGUUGAUUGUCUAGUAAAAAUAAAUUGUCUUCCUCCAUAUGUAAAAAGAAAAUAAAUAAAUCAAUUAAAUUUCAGGAUGCUUAAUGAAGUGCUUCUUUCGGAGUUAAACUUCCGUUUGUCCAUAUAUUUCGAUAAAAAGUAUCUCUUAUUUUUUAUUUCCAUUCCCAUAAGAAUGAAUACUAUGAUUCGUGUUUCGAACAGGCAUGAAUACAAUAUCUAUAGGAUAACUUCUAUCUUGAAAGUUAUGUGGCAUUUUUAUAAGAUAUCCAUGAUUUCUCUCUAUUUGUAGUCUAAUACAAAAAUUAAUUGGUUCUGUUAAACUAGCUAUAUGUUGUGUAUUAUCAACGGUUUCUAAAUAAGGUGGCAAGAUGAUAUCUUAAGCAGUUACAUAUCUAGGACCCUUGACACAAAUAGACUCGUCAGAAGUUCCAUAUACAUUACUUCUCAAUACAAUUUCUUUUAAAUUCAUUAAAAUUUUAUGUAUCGAUUCUUGAAUGCUCGUUAUGGUAGAAUAUUCACAUGGGACUUUCUCAGAUUUUACACAUGUAAUACAUAUUCCUUCUAUUUCUCCAGGUAAAUCUCUUCGCAUCACAAUGCCUAUUGUGUCAGCUUGGCCUUUCAUAAGUGGAGACAUAAUAAAGCAUCCAUAAUAAAGGCGUUUACUAUCUAUUCUUGAUUCAACACACUUCCACUAUAGUGUUCGAGUAGAUACUGUUACUUUCUCUCGAACCAUAGUACUAUUAUUUGAUUAGAUCAUCGAAUAUUUUAUUUCUCUUGAGAUUUCUUCAAUGUUUCAUUCUACACACUUCUUUUUUCGGAGGUCUACAACCAUUAUAUGGCAUAGGAGUUACACCCCGUAUGAAAAUUAAUAGUAUACCACUUCGACAAAUAUCUCAUAAUGCUGCAUCUCUUCCGAGAUCGGGACCUUUUAUCAUGACCUUUUAUCAUGACUUAUGCUUGUUGCAUACCUUGAUCCACUACGGUACGGAUAGCGUUUGCUGCUAUGGUUUGAGCAGCAAACGGUGUUCCUUUUCUCAUACCUUUGAAUCCUGAAGUACUAGCAGAGGACCAAGAAACUACUCGACCCCAUACAUCUGUAACAGUGGCAAUGGUAUUAUUGAAACUUGCUUGGACAUGAAUAACUUCCUUUGGUAUUCUAAGUGCACCCUUACAUGAACCAAUACGUCCAUUCCUACGCAAACUAAUUUUUAGUAUAACUUUUGUCAUAUUUUAUCAUCUCAUAAAUAUGAGUAAGAGAUAUAUGGAUAUCUCCAUUUCAUGUCAAAACAGAUUCUUUAUUUGUACAUCGAAUCUUCUGACAAGUCUGAUUAUUCUUGUCUUUGUUUAUGUCUUGGGUUGGAACAAAUUACGAUAAUUCGUCCCCGCCUAUGGAUUAGUCGAUAUUUUUUACAAAUUUUAUGAACGGAAGCUCUUAUUUUCAUAUUUUUCAUUCCUGACCUUAAUUCUUAAUCUAUUUCUUGGAAGAAAAUAAGUUUCUUGAAAUUUUUCAUCUCGAAUUGUAUUCUCCCGAAAGGAAUGGUGAAGUUGAAAACCUAAUUCUUCAAAUCUUUGUUUUGUAGUCGAUAAAUUAUACACCCUUUGAUUGAAUAAUAAGGACUUACUUCAAUUUUUACUCUAUCUCCAGGCAGUAUCCGUAUAAAACUAUGUCGGAUCUUUCCUAAAAUAGAAUUUAGAAUCAGAUCUAAACGAAUUGGGAAUAGACCGUUGGGAAGAGAUUCAGUAAUUAAAGAUUUAUAUCUCCAUUUUGGUUCUUAAAAUUCCCUUGAGGUAUCAACUAAUGAGAAAGAUAUUAGACAACCCCCUUUUUUUCACAAAUUUAACAAAUAGAAAGUUUCGAAUCCAGUUUGGAUAUUAUAAAGGAUUGCCAGAUAUAACAUAAAAUUUCUCCACCUAUUUCUUCUAGUCGAGCCUCUCGGUCUGUCAUUAUACCUUGAGAAGUAGAAAGAAUUGCAAUUCCCAUUCCACCUAAAAUUCUCGGAAUUCGUUGAUAAUCAGAAUAGAUUCAUAGACCAGGUCGACUUAUUCAUUUUAAAUUUAAAAUAUUUCUAUAGGGUCUUUUCCUAUUCCUUCUAUGUCACAGGGUUAAAACCAAAAAAUAUUUAUUGUUUUCUCGAUGUUUUCUCACGUUUUCGAUAAAACCCUCUCGUAAAAGUAUUUGAACAAUAUUUUCGAUAAUAUUUGUAGAUGCUAUCCGAACCACCCUUUUUCAAUCCAUAUCAACAUUUCGUAUAGAAGUUAUUAUCUCAGCAAUAGUGUCCCCAUGAUGAACUAAAAUUAUUAGGUUCUCCAAAUUUGAUAUAAUCGUGUUUUUCACUUAUUUUUUUUGAAUAUGAUAUGAAUCAUUAAAGAUAUAUGUGUGAGACACAAUCUACUAAUUAAUCUAUUUCUUUCAAAUACCCAACUAGAAACAGAUCACAAUUUCAUUUUAUAAUACCUCGGGAGCUAAUGAAACUAUUUUAGUAAAAUUUAAUUCUCUCAAUUCCCGGGAUAUUGCACCAAAAAUUCGAGUUCCUUUUGGAUUUCGUUCUUGAUCAAUAACAACCACAGCAUUGUCAUAUCGUAUUAUUAUCUCGUUAGCACGUUUGAUUUCUUUACAGGUACGUACAAUUGCAGCUCUGACUAUUUCUAAUCUUUCUAGGGGCAUAUUUGGUACUGCUUCUUUGAUCACAACAACAAUAAUGUUACCAAUAUGAGCAUAUAGACGAUUUCUAGCUCCUAUGAUUCGAAUACACAUCAAUUCUCGAGCCUCGCUAUUAUCUGCUACAUUUAAAUGGGGUUGAGGUUGGAUAAUUUUUUUAAUUCGUUCUUUGAAUGCAAAGGAUGAAGAAAAAAAAUAUUUUUGUCCAAAAAAAAAAAGAAACAUGUGGUUUUGUUUCAUAUCUAAGAGCCCUUUCUACAUUUUUGUCUAUUACAUUACGAAAUAAUGAAUUGAGUUCGUAUAGGCAUUUGGAUGCUGCUAGUGAAAUAGCCCUUUUGGCUAUAUUUUUUGUUACUCCACCCAUUUCAUAAAGUACUCGCCCCGGUUUAACAACGGCUACCCAAUAUUCAGGGAAUCCGUUUCCUGAACUCAUACGUGUUUCUGCGGGUCUUAGUGUAACUCGUUUGUCUAGAAAUAUAUGUACCCAUUCCACCAUGAUGUGCAUUUCAUGUCAUUGCUCGUCGUCCUACUCCUAUUUACCGAGAUGUAAUCCAAGCAGGUUCAAGUGGUUGAAGAGCGUAUUUACCGAAAGAAAUAUGAUUACCUCGAUAAGAUAUUCCUUUCAUUCUUCCUCUAUGUUUUUUAUGGAAUCUGGUUCUUUUGGGGUUAUAGUUGAUGGUUGUUUCUGAAUUCCAUCUCUACUACAGAACCGGACGUGAGAGUUUCUUCUCAUCCAGCUCUUCGCAAAUAAAAGAAUUCCUAAAAAUUCAAUUUGAAUUAAGUUACAAGAGUCAAUCUUAAAUUAAGAUAUAUAUGUAUUUACUGAGUAAUACCUUGAACGUGGGCUUCUUUGAGUUUUGAUUAAAUCUAUUAGUAAUUUCUAUAUCUUGUUUGAAUAGAUAACUAAACUUUUUAGUUUUAUAAAUAGAAAUAUAAAAAAUUGUAUUAUUAUACCAAAUCCUUAUUUUGUCCUUUAGUCCUAAAUUUUGAAAUAAAAAAAAAAAUUCGCGGGCGAAUAUUUACUCUUUCAAUCCCUAUUUCAUUUGUAGGGUUAACUCGUGAUUUCUCAGAUCUCAGAAUACAUGAAUUAAUCUCUGGUUCGUUCCGCCAUCCUGACCAGUGAAUCAUUAAGAUUCCUUGUUCAAUAGAAUCUUUUGUAUUCACAAGUUUCGUCGUUCCCAUCACUUCUGACUUAAUGAUUAGGUCCGAAUUCUACAAUGGAAAUCAUAAUGAAAUUGGUUCUUGAGUCAAUCUUCUCAGUUUUUAUUGGCUCGAAGCUCUUGAUUUUUUGCUCUAUUUUUAUAUUUCUAUAAAGAAGAUUCUUUUUAUUAUGGUAUGAAUACAUAUUGAUGCUUUAUUGCACUGUUUUUCAUGAGAUUACUCAUAGACCUUACAAUAAGUACUUUGCUCCAGUUUCGCCUUAGAUUUUGAAGUUGAUACUUAUUAUUCCAAAGCUCAAUAUUCUUGAGCCCCAUUAAAUAUAAAUUAAAUCACCAAAAGAAUAGUUGUAGGGAUCUCUAACUUCCCAAAAUUGAAGAGGGGGCAUUUGAUAAUUUCCAUAAACCAAUGGUACUAUUGGUUGUUCUUCUUUCUUUUUAUCCACUAGAUCAACACUCACAACAUCAGCAAAGCCAACUUUCUUCCUUAGUAUAGUGACAAGCUUUUCUACAUCAAUUCCUUCACCUAUCACCAUUAGCUCAUUCUUUUCUUCUCCUUCUAUAGCUACUUUCUCUAGUCCUGCAAAAAUAUUAAAUUAUUCAACUACAACAAUAACGUAUCCAGUGUAUUCCCACAUAGUGGGGUCUGGGGAGGGGUAGAGUGUACGCAGUGUGCUCCCACAUAGUGGGGUCUGGGGAGGGUAGAGUGUACGCAAACCAUGCCACUAUCUCCGAAGAAGUAGAGAGACUGUUUCCGAUAGAUUCCCAGCUUAGGACCGAUAACAGUAUAGCAAAUCACAAAGCAUAAGUGCAUAUAAAGUAGUAAGGUAUGCAAAAUAAACAUUCAUUUUUAUAUUUUUACUAGUUAGGAGACACAGGCUCAACAUCUAUCCUAAAUUAAUAGUAUAAAAAUAACUAUAUCAAUUAAUAUGACGUGUUUUGAAUUUUGAAAUCUAAAUAAAUUUAUUUUUAUGAGUAAUUUUUACAUAUAUACUUAUAAUAUUUUAAAUUACUAAUUAUUGUGAUUUAUUAAUUACUCAAAUAUAUAAUUUUGUUUCAAAAAUUUAAUUAACAAUCAAAAUUAAAAUCUAAAAAUGUAUAAAUUACUGCAAAUAAAGAGCGUGGAAAGCAAAAUUCGAUGGGCUUAUUUAACUAUUUUUUUUUAGAAGAGUGCAAAAUUUAUUGGUCCAAUAAAUAAACAAUUACUAAUAAAGGUGCAAGUAAGUUUAAGAGGCUAAAAAAUACCGAUGUCAUUGAGGAUCAAUCUUGAGAACUCAAACAUGAAAAGGCGGGCUGAAACCACCUGGCCAAAACAGCUUACACAUCAAGGAAGCACACAUUCUUAUGUAGCAUCUGUAGCAUUAUUUUAAGUGGUCCCCUACUUUUAGCCCCCUAAGAAAGUUACUGUGCUAAAAUCCCCCUUUUCACGCCAUUCUUAUUUCUCUUUCCUUAAUUUAAAUUCUUUAUUCCUUUUCUUUCGCCAUUAACAAUCUCUCCCACUUCAAAUUUUGUUCCUUUUGCAUGAUUCUAGCACGAUCUGUGAUAAUGAUUUACUUCCUCUAUUUCAGGUAACUAUUAAUCGCAUAUUGCAUGCUAGCAGUUUUUUUUUUCUACUGUAAUUCAACUUAAAAUCAAAUUUUAAGGGUUUUAUGUUUUAAUGGAUGAACAUACAACAAAAACACCAACAAAUAGCGGUAUACGGAAUAUGAAUGUAGAGUUUGAUUAUGCACAAUCUUUUAGUCUUAUGUUAACUCAAGAAGAUUUAGUUAAAGUUAUUGUAAAUCCUAUACAGUUGAAGAAAUCUGGGAGAUCGAAGGAGAUUAGGUCGAAGUUUCGCAAUGACCCAGUGAAGAUCAGUGAAAUUUUGAAAAAAAAAGGGUUGAAGAAGGAGCAAAAAAAUUAAAAACAGUACGAAAAGAAAAGGAAAGUUGAAGAAAUUGAAGACGAUGUUCAGAAAUCUUAUGUUGAUGAUUCUUAAGAAGAUAGUGAGGAUGGGGUAUUAUUUUGUUUGUAAAUGUAUUUUUUUGACUGAGUGUUGUUCUAAAUAGGGAAAUAAAGAUAUUAUCAAAGUUGCGAGUUAAAGAUACAGGGCAAUAAGUACUAUUAAGUAUUGUGUUAACUACUCAUGAACUGUCUAUUGGCUAUAUGUAUUUUUAGUAUAAUUGAUAUGUAUUUUUCAGUAUUGGUUGCAUUUUUUGUCUGCUUAAAAUACAUAUGCUUGUUUAUAUGAAUUUUUUUCUUAUCCGGCUGUUCUUGUUCAGAUCAAGAAAUUAGCUGAGAUUAUCUCUUUGUGUCUCCAAGCUUGUGAUUUCUACAAUAAGAAAGGAAUUGAUCUACAAAAUCAUUCAAGAUAUAAAGACAAAGAUUACUCAGAUCUGUUUGAUGUGAUAUUUGAAGAGAAUUUGCCUCAACAAUCGAGUGGAAGCUUGUAAGUUUUUAAUUUACAUAUACCAAAAUUGAAUGUUUGUACAAAAUAUAUUUUACUUAUAAAUAAAUAUUUUUUUCUUGUUUUUGUAGGGAUUGUGGUCUCUUUAUGGUUACAUAUGCAGAGUGUCUUUCUUAUGGUCACAAAGUUAUUGCGAUUGAGUUCGACCCCAACGCACUCCGUACAAGAUAUGCUGCACUUUUGUGGGACUAUGGGAUCCGAAAACAAGAAGCAAAUGCUCAUAGUGAUGUCGAAUCACCCUUGAGGCCUGCAAGACAAAGUAGAAUAACUAGUGUUACUGAAGUUUUUGAUGUAUGAUGAUUGAUGGAUUUAUUACUUUGUAUAGUUAGAGAAACUAGUGUAUGGAUGUAGGUUCUGAUUGUACAAACUAAUUUUUAUGUUUUGAAGUAGUUCUAAUUGUAGGUUAUAAUAGUACUUAUUUUUUAACUGAAUGAAAUUAAUUCUGAUUUGAAUUGGGUCUAAUUUUGAUUUGAAUUAAAGUUUAAUUUGAUUAUUUUAUGCAGUUAUAUACUUUACUGUGAGAUUUAGUUAAAAAAAAUACAUAUGUAGUGUUCAUAUUAUUCUUAAAAAUACGUAUGUAGUAUCAAUCAAAAGUUUUUAUCCUAAAAAUACAUAUGCAGUGUUAAGAUUAAGCAUUUUCAAAAAUACAUCCGGACCAUAUCUAAUAUAUUUUUUAAUAUGUUUUCAUUUAUUAUUAAUAUAAAUGCGAAUUUGAAUUAAAUAUAAACUUUUGUUUUUUAUGAAGUUCUACUUUGUAUUGUGAGAUUUUAGUUAUAAAAUACAUAUGCAGUAUUGAUAUUUUGCUUAAAAAUACAUAUGCAUUAUACAUCAAAUGUAUUUACCCUAAAAAUACAUAUGCAGUGUUAAAAUUAAGAAUUUCAAAAAUACACCUUGAUCAUAACUAAUAUAUAUUUUAAUAUGUGUUCAUUUAUAAUCAUUAUAAAUGAGAAUUUGAAUUAAAGACAAAUUUGAGUUUUUUAUGCAGUUCUACAUUUUAUUAUGAGAUUUUAGUUACAAAAGAUACAUAUGUAGUGUCGAUAUUUUGCUUAAAAAUACACAUGGAUUAUGCAUCAAAAUAUUUUUUAGAAUAAAAAUACAUAUGAAGUGUUGAUAUUUUGCUUUAAAAUACAUAUACAUUAUACAUCAAAUGUAUUUACCCUAAAAAUACAUAUGCAGUCUUGAUAUUUUGCCUAAAAAUACAUAUGCAUUAUACAUCAAAUGUAUUUACCCUAAAAAUACAUAUACAGUGUUAAAAUUAAGCAUUUCAAAAAUACACCUUGAUCAUAACUAAUAUAUAUUUUAAUAUGUGUUCAUUGAUUAUAAUUAUAAAUGAGAAUUUGAAUUACAGAUAAAUUUGAAUUACAGUUGAAGUUGUGAUGUGGAUCGGAGAUAAUCAUCUCAACCAUAUCCAUCUCAAAUACAUCUAAUGAUGUAGUUUCUUUAGAAACUACCAAAGAUCCUUCAUUGUAUGCACUUAAUACUGCUUGAACGUUGUUACAGCAGGCGCUUCUUUCAGCAAGACACACAGAUGAACUUGCAAAGUUUCUCCCUACAACUUUCUCCAAAAUGCUUACAUAUAAAGGAAGAUAAUUCAUGUCUUGUAUAUCUUUUUUCUCCAACAUAAAAACCUUUAAACCCAUAUCAUUGUGUAUUUGUAUUUUCCCUAUAUUACCAGUGAUUUGAUACUCCAUUAGAAUACGUUUGUUGGUUAAGUCCACAUUUAAAUGUGAUGCCAAAACAUCAUGCAGCUCAAUGAAUGAUGAUGUUGUGCUCAAAAGUAUAGCAUCAGUGACGUAAUCUUCACAGUUUUUUUCAUACGUCCACCUACCAGAGUGCUUCACAAGAACUGGUAUGCUAUCCAUUUCUACAUGAUUUAAUCAAAAAUAAAAAAAAAAUACAUAUUUAUCAGGUAUCACUUGUUUCAUCAUACACUUAUCAGCUUUAUGUGCAAACAAGUUUACACAGCCAAUAUCUCCAUUACAAACACAGCAAAAGUUUGCAACCAAAUACAGAAACUACUGAAUCGAACACAAGUAAAAAAGAUAUAAAAGAUAUUUUCAUAUACACUUUUCAGCUUUAAGUGCAAACAAAGUUCCACAACAUAUGUAUUUUUAGGCUAAAAAUAUAUUAAACAACAUUUGUUUAAAGUAAAAUACAAACACAGAAAAAGUUUCUAACCAAAUACAUAAACUACUGAAUCGAACACAAGUAAAACAGAUAUAAAAGAUCUUUUCAUAUACAUUUUUCGGCUUUAAGUGCAAACAAAGUCCCACAACAUAUGUAUUUUUAGGCUAAAAAUACAUUUAAACAACAUUUAUUUAAAUUAAAAUACAAACACAGAAAAAGGUUCAAACCAAAUACAUAAACUACUGAAUCGAACACAAGUAAAACAGAUAUAAAAAGAUCUUUACAUAUACACUUUUCAGCUUUAAGUGCAAACAAAGUUACACAGCAUAUGUAUUUUUAGGCUUUAAAUACAUUUAAACAACAUUUGUUUAAGGUAAAAUCCAAACAUAGGAAAAGGAGUUUCGAAAACAAUUGAAUAAACUUCAAAUCUAAAUUUGUUUAUAAUAUAUUCAUAAUCGAUUAUACAACAAAUUGAAAAAAUUCUACAAAGCUUCACAAUUUGUUCAAUUGUUAAAACAAUCAAAAUAACAACAAACAAUCCCCAAAACAAUAGUUGAAUUUCGAAGUUUUAAUAUCUGAAACAACUGUUAAGAUGAAAUCUGCAAAAGAUACUUGAAUUUCGAAGUUUUUUGUUCUAUAUGUUGAAUUUACUGCUGCAUUGCUUCUAACUCAAAAUUCGUUUACAAAUUUUUCAAAAACAAAUUAACGACGACAACAGAAACUAGAUAGGUACAUCAGUAAUGGUUAAAAAAAAUCAAACCAAAAAAUAAUAAUGAUUAUGUACCUUAAACAAUAGUAAUGGUUGAAUUUCAACUGAUUGUUGAAUUCAAAUAAAUUGAACUGAAGAAUCUACAAUUGAAUUUGAUUCAAAGAAAUUAAUGCAUCGUUUUGAAACUGCUGUUGAUUUAGAAGAAGAUUCAAUCGAAUUUUUCAACAACAACAAUGGUUGAAUUUCAAAAACACGGAUGGAUUAGAAAAAAUUGCUCAGAAAAAGAUUCAGCAGAUUUUGAUAUUGCUUUUUUUUUUCGAUGAACUUGUUAAUGGAAAAAACUGAAAUUUGAAUUGUGUUUACUGAUGUCAACAUAUAACGGAAAUCACUUUUUGUAAGAGGUUUAAAUGGAAAAGGAAUCUAUAAAUUUAAUUGAUUGGUAAUUAUACCAUAUUUAGCUCAACCAAUUUCAGGUAAUUGAGGGCAGUAAAUUUGUUAUAUAUGUAUUUUUAUAGCAACAGUUUUUAAAAAUACAAAAUACAAGUUGCUACAAAAUGUAAUUAAGAAACUGUUGCUAUAAAACUAAUAAUUAGGGUCUCAAGUAUGCUAUUUCUGAAUUUUGCCCUUUUUUAGAAGAGUGCAAAAUUUAUUGGUCCAAUAAAUAAAUAAUUACUAAUAAAAGUGCAACUAAGUUUAAGAGGCUAAAAAAUACCAAUGUCAUUGAGGAUCAAUCUUGAGAACUCAAACAUGAAAAGGCGGGCUGAAACCACCAGGCCAAAACAGCUUACACAUCAAGGAAGCACACAUAUUGAUCGAUUUAGUCAUUUUGAUUAGUUUUAAUGCUGUGAGGUCUUUUAGAAAAAAUCAUAUGGAUUUAGUUAAAAGUGGAUAAUUUCACAUAAUGUGAAAGUAUGUUUGUGUUGUUUCAGCUGCCAACAACUGACAUCAGAGUCUACUUGCCGAUUUGCUAUCUUUACUCGUAGGAUCAGAGAGAUAUACACAAUAAAAAAAUUGUAUAAUAUAUCUUAUGUUAAAUCAAAAGUAACAUCUGAACACUAUAGUCUUAAACAUGUCACUUGAUUCAAUAAGAAUAAAAAUAUUAAAAUAACAAAACUUAAUAAUUACCUGGUAUUUUUGCUGCAUUUGAUAAAAUCUUCCUUUGAUUUUUGGAGCUACUACAUUGGGAUUUGUGCCCACAACAUUUUACAAAAUACUUUAACUUCAAAAAUUCUACAACAAACUUCUUCAUUGUAAGAUGUGAGUUUCCAUUUAUAGAAACCCUAAUGACAAUUUUUUUCUGCAUUAAGACCACCAAAAAAAAAAAGGUCAAUCAACAAAAUUCAAUAAAAUGAGUUUUGGUGGAUGCCACCAAAAUAAUUUUUGCAGUUAAACCUCUAUAUAAAAACAUCAUACUUCUUAACUGUUAUAAUAAAAUAUUAUUAUAGAAAUUAAGAAAAAUGCUCUAUUUUCAUCUGGAACUAUACGCGAAAAGGUUGAGACACAUCCAAAUUUUAGGAAGAUUCUAUUGCCCCCGGACUAAUUAAAAUCGUAUUUUUGACAACCUUAGUGCCUAAGUGGCACAUAUGUGGCACACACGUGUGCCUACGUGGACCCUUCAGUGUGUAGUGCCACACAGGCACUAGGGUUGCCAAAAAUACGAUUUUAAUUAGUCCAGGGGUAAUAGGACCCUAUUAAAGUUCGGGUGUGUCUCAACCUUUUCGCAUAUUUUCUCUAAAAAUUAUAUAAUACUCCCUCUGUUCCGUCUAAGUUGACAUAGUUUUCUUUUUAAUAGUCAAAUAAUAUAAAUUUUGAUCAACAUUUUAAAAUAUAAUUUUUCAUCAAAUUGAUAUGAGAAAAAUUUGCAGAUUAUCGUACUUUUCUUAUAGUUUUGAAUAUUCAAGUUUUUAUUUCACAAUAUCGAAAUAAUCUAAUCUAAUUUUAAAAUUAUUCAAAUUGACUUCUGAAUAGUGAAACCUGAAAACUAAAAAAAAAAACAGACGGAGUAACGCAAAACAAAAUAUUAGUUUCAAAAAGUAAAAACUUAAUCGCUAUAUAUAAUAAAUUAUUAUUAUAGAAGAUGACUAUUACAAACAGAUUGUUGUACGUACCGUCAUUUUUCUUCUUCAAUUGAUAGAAUAAUGCACCAAUUUAAGACAAUAAUAUUCAUAAAAUAAAGUUCUAUGUUUUAAAGAUUUUGAUUAAUUACAAGUGACUUUGUUGUUCUAUUUAUCCUAAAAUCAUGUGGAAAAAUCAAACAACAAUUACAUCAAAGAAAAAAUAUCGCCAUCCAACAAGUGCAGGCUUAACGUGUCAUGAGUGUUAAACGUAUUAUAUUUUUAUCUAAAAGCUUAAGUUAUAAUUAGAUACGAUAACAUAUUUUAAUUUAUUUAUUUUAAUUACAAAUUCGAUAGAACUCAAAAAUAUUGACUAUAACCUUAUAUUUGUAAUAAAAAAUAUACUUAGUGGGUCGUUUGCACUUUUGCUCUAUUUUAUAUUGGUCUUUAAUUAAUAUCUUUCGUAACGAAUUUUUUUUUGCAUAAGGUUAUAUUUUGUAUCAUAAUAUUCUUUAAGUUCUGCGUGAUCAUAAUUUUAGUUUUUAUAGAGGCAUAAGUUCGACUGAUAAAGGGAAAAAAAAAUACAAACUAGCAUAUUUAAAGGCAAAAAUUAAAGACCAGCUUAUUUGAAAAGCAAAACGUGUAAUUUUAUGCUACUCAGUUUUAUUUUUUUCACGAUCCCUCGUCUGCAAGCCUCAUUCUUUUUCAUGGAUUGGGGCAGGAUGCAUGAAGUGGAGGCUUGCAUUGGGAGUGUUGUGUGAUAAGAAGGUGCCGCCCAAACUGAAAGGCAAGUUCUACAGAGUGGCAGUCCGGCUGGCCAUCCUGUAUGGAGCGGAGUGCUGGCCAGUCAAGAACUCUCAUGUUCAAAAUUGAAGGUGACGGAAAUGCGGAUGUUGCGUUGGAUGUGUGGGCUUACUAGGGGUGAUAGGGUUAGGAAUGAGAUUGUCCGCAAGAUGGUUGGAGUGUCUUCGCUGGAGGACAAGAUGCGGGAAGUUCGGCUGAGAUGGUUCGCGCAUGUGAUGAGGAGGGGCACGAAUGCCCCAGUUCAUAGGUGUGAUAUGCUAGCUUUGGAUAGUUUCAGGCGGGGUAGGGGUAGGUCGAAGAAGUUAGAGAGAGGUGAUUAGACGUGACAUAGAGAAGUUACAACUUACCGAGGACAUGACCCUAGAUAGGAAGGUGUGGAGGACGCAAAUUAGGAUAGAAGGCUAGUGCAUGUGGGAGGGUUGGGGUGGGGGGUUCGAGGGUGGGGGUGCCUUUGGUACGUUAGUAUAGGGUAUUACUGUGUGGAUGUCUUAUUUCUGUUGUGCCAUCUUGUUUCAUGCUUUUAUUAUGAACUUGUUAUUAUUCUUUGUCUUGAGCUGGGGUCUAUCAGAAAUAACCUUUCUACUUCUGCGGAGGUACUGGUAUGGAUUGCGUACAUCUUACCCUCCCCAGACCCCACUGUGUGGGAAUAUAUUACACUGGGUUUGUUGUUAUUGUUGUUAUAAGCACGUGAAUUUUAUUUCUUUUAUUAAUAAAAAAGAAUUUUGAACUUGAAAUCUAUCGACUGAUCUGAUAUAAUAUUAAAAUAUGUUUUCUUCUUGUCUAAAUGUUUAAACGAUAAGAGCGUGAAGCGUCCGCAAUGAGAGAAAAGAAUGACUAUUUUAUUAGUCUUAAUAUAUUAAUAAUUUUUUAAAGUUAUCAAUAUAUAAAUUUUAUUUAUAUACUCAAAUAUUGAGUUAUUUUAAUUGAACACGUGAACACACAUGAUGCAGUGUUCUUAUUAGGCACUUGAUUUAAAAUCUCAAAAAAACUUUUAUUUGUAUUCACAUGCGUCUAUUUACAACAACAACAGAAACAACAAAUCCAGUGUAUUCCCAUAUAUUGAGGUCUUGGGAGGGUAAGAUGUACGCAGUCCAUACCUCUACCUCUAAAGAAGUAGAAAGGUUGUUUCCGAUAGACCCCCGGCUCGAGACAUGGACUACUAAACAAAUUCAUAGUAAAGCAUGGAACAAGAUGGCAUAACAUAAAUACGACACCCACAAGUAAUAGUAAAGAGAGAAAAGUAAACUAACUCGUAAUAAAGCAUGAAAUAAGGUAUCAUAACAAGAAUAAUACCCUCACCAAUUAAUUCCCUACCCUAGCGACUCAAACUGACCCUAGCCUUCUGUCCUAAUUCACGUCUUCAAAUCUUCCUAUCUAGGGUCAUGUCCUCAGUGAGCUAUAACUGCUCCAUGUCCCGCCUAAUCACCUCUCCCCAGUACUUCUUCGGCCUACCCCUACUGAUACGAGUGCGAUCACGUACAUGGACUCUUGUGGGUGUGUAUUGAAGUCGUCCAAGUAUGUGUGUAAGAGAAGCGUAAUUAAGGGCCCAAAUACACACCAAAAACCAUCCAAAGCUAGCCUCUCACACCUACGAACCGGGGCAUCCAUGCCCCUCCUCAUCACGUGUCCGAACCAUCUCAAUCGGACUUCCCGCAUCUUAUUCUCCACUGGAGUCACACCAACCUUCUCCCUGAUAGUCUCAUUCCGAACUCUAUCCCCCUAGUCAUCCCACAGCAACAUCCGUAUUAGGAAGAAAUUCAUUUUUUGAAUGUGUGAGUUCUUAACUGGCCAACACUCCGCUCCAUACAACAUGGCCGGACAGACUGCCACCCUGUAGAAUUUGCCUUUAAACUUGGGGGGUACAUUCUUAUCACACAACACUCCCGAAGCGAGCUUCCACUUCAUCUAUCCCACCCCAAUACGGUGCGAGACCUCCUCGUCAAUCUCACCGUUACCCUGAAUCACGGACCCGAGAUACUUGAAACUAUCCCUCUUACAUACCACCUGUGAUUCCAACUUCACUACCACCUCAUUCUCCAGCCUCACGUCAUUAAACUUGCAUUCCAAAUACUCUGUCUUGCUCCUACUCAACCUGAACCCUUUAGACUCAAGAGUUUGUCUCCACACCUCUAAUUUAUCAUUCACACCCUCCCCUGUCUCAUCAAUCAAAACUACAUCAUCUGCAAAAAACAUACACCAAGGCACCUCUCCUUGAAUACGCCGCGUCAACACAUCCAUCAUCAAAGCAAACAAAAAGGGACUAAGAGUAGAUCCCUAAUGCAAUCCUGUCAAGACAGUGAAAUGCUCUGAGCCUCCUCCCGCCGUCCUCACCUAAGUUUUAGCUCUAUCAUACAUGUCCUUAAUUGCUCUGAUAUAUGCCACCUGGACUCCACUCACCUCCAAGCAUCUCCAAAGCACCUCCCUGGGGACUUUGUCAUAUGCCUUCUCCAAGUCGAUAAACACCAUGUGCAGGUCCUUCUUGCUUUCCCUAUACUGUUCCACCAGCCUCCGUACCAGGUGAAUUGCCUCCGUCGUCGAGCGGCCAGGCAUAAAUCUAAACUGGUUCUCCAAAAUAGACACUAUCCGUCUUAGCCUCACCUCGACCACUCUCUCCCAAAUCUUCAUAGAGUGACUCAAUAACUUAAUACCCCUAUAGUUAUUGCAACUCUGAAUGUCACCCUUGUUCUUAUAAAUAGGGAUCAUAGUACUCCACCUAUGGUUAAAUUAAUACAUAAUAUAUAUAUUUUUUAAUUAUACACAUCAAUCACAAUUGAAACAUGUCCAAAAUUUUAUGACUUAGUGAGACAAAUGCAUAUAAUUAAAAGAUGUAAUAUAUUUUAAGUCGUUAGUUAUCUACAUAAUGGAACUUGAGAGAAUUUAAAAAGAGUUUUCAAAAAUUUAAAUAAAAAAAAUCUAACAAGAAUAUUUUAUCAUGUGUUUAAAUAGUUAAAUUAAAAUAAAUCACAGCUCAAAUAUAGACAUAAAUUUAAGAAAUUGUCAGUAUUAAACCUUUUAUUAUUCUUAGUUAUAUUAGGAUAAAGAUGUUUCUAACAUGUGAACGUGUUUAGAAAGUUAACCGUAGUUCACGUUCAAGUUUCUUCUCAAAUUUGUUUUUGUGUAUAUAUAUAUUUUAACAUGAUGUUGUAUAUAUAUAUGUUAGAGUUGUGACCCGCAUUUUGUUGGUCUGAACCAAAAAGUUUCGCUGACUCAUGUUUGCGAUUUUCAAUGAGGUCUGUGGUGGUAGCAUAGGAUCGGGCCGAUAGGGGGUGUGGGGGCGAAACCCCCAUGAUAUGGACUUUUAUAUUUUUUGGGUUUAGGACUUAUUUGUAUGCACGUAUUAUAUAAAUGCAAUUAGUGAGUCGAUUUUGAUUAUUCAGAAAUUAUGUCGCUCCACAUUGUACUCCUCUCCUUUCAUAGUGAAGCUUCCUCUACCUCUGCCCGUGAUUUUUUCCGCAAGGGUUUUCACGUAAAUAUGUGUGUUUUUAUUUUCUUUCUGAUUGUAGUUUGCUUUAUUUCAGCCCAAUUUCUAAGCAAUAUAUAUUUGGUCUUUUUAACAGCUAUAAAUGUCUUAUUUUUCUUCAGAUACUAACACAAAAAUUUACAGUUAAAAUACUUUUCUUUUUUUACAAAAUUCAAGUGUGUAUUAUUAGAUAUAUAAAUUGCAAUGUGCGGCUGUGCAUCGUCAUCUGCGGAGGCAGAUGGGUUUGCACGUGGACCCGACGUUCCAAAGCAAUACAACUCUUCACGAACCAUUGCUUGUUUUCACGAAGCAGACUUUUUGGCAUUAAAUAUAUGAUUUUUCAUUAAAUAUUGACACGAAAAUUUGAAGUUAAAAUACUCCUUUUUUCUUACAAAACUCAAGUGUGAUUUAGUAUUUUUGAGUGAGUUUGUUGUUUGACAGAAUUUGAGGUGUAGUUUUUCAGCUGAAGUGUUUUCAUUUUAUCUUGGGAAAAUAUAUUCUUUAACGAUAGGUAGCUAAGGAGAAUAAUUUCCUUAAGAACACACUGUCGAUUCCCAAGACAUUUCCUUGGAAUUAGGAAUGUCUUGAAGAUGUGGUAAAUACAUUGGCUGAAGUUCUUUGAAAGAGGGUUUAAUCUCUCCAACGAUUUCCUGGAUACCACCAAUGUCAGGGUGAGGAGUAGCAAUUGAUUUGAAGGUUGCCUUACUCACUUUAGGAGCAACCAAAAUCCGUUUUGUUAACCCAAACCAUGACAGGUACGUCCAGGGGCGGCUCAAGCUCGUUAGUGGCCUAAAGCCAAAAAUAAUCGGACGCCUUAAGAUUUUGAAGAAAACUAAUUUUUUUUUUUUUUAAUUUAAAGUCUAUUCCUUAAGAUGCAAAGUUGUUAAUGUAUUUCUUACCAAAGUAUUUUGAGAACUCCUUUGUUUUAAUUUGCUUGUCUAUUUUGAUUUGAUAUGGUGUUUGGAGUUUAAUAAAGUAAAGAAAAUCUGUGUAUUUUAAACUAAAGAUAUAUAGAAUAUACCAAAAUGUUCUUUAAUAUUACGGUCUUAAACAUGUCCAAAAAAAUUGAAACUAAAAAGUUGACAAAAACAAUAUUUUUUUUUAAAUGAACUGAAAAAAAAUAGUACCGAAUAUUUCUUUUUUUUUUUUUGAAUCAUAUAAUAAAUUUAUUAUUGUUAAAAAAAAAAUUAGGCCUCUCAAAUUGGGGGCCUUAGGUGGUUGUCUUAUUCUCUAAGGCAUAGAGUCGCCCCUGGGUACGUCCUCACCAAUAUAUCACCUCUAUCAGACCUGUUCAGUGGACUUGAAUCUUCUGAUCUUUUAUCUCUUUCUAUAAGUUUGGCGGCUUACUAUUUUCUAGAAAUAGUUUGAACUUUCUUCUUGUUUUAAAGAUUUUUGAAACGAACAAGGAAAAAUAUUAUCAAGACGCGUGAAUAGAUUGACCUUGAAACAACAACGAUUAAUUACUCUUGCUAUAAAACAAGCCCGUAUUUUAUCUUUGUUACCUUUUCUCAAUAAUGAGAAACAAUUUGAAAGAACCGAGUCGACCGCUAGAACUACUGGUUUUAAAGCCCGAAAUAAAUAGGCUUACCUUUUCUUUACUUGAAUCAUAAUUACUCAAAUCUAGAUUCACUCAAAUCUAGAUUUGAGUAUCGUGUCGUAAGAAACAAAUGAAUCGGAAAAAACGAAAUCUGUUUUUAUUGAAUUGAACGUGUUCAUUCAUUUUGACUACUUUAGCAUAUUUUCUCAUACUAAUUUCUAACUCGUCCGGUAGAAGAAACCUCCAUUUAUUCUCAGGAGAGCCUGGGGAGUUUUUAAAGCCUCCGGUAAAGCCUCCGGUAAAGACUCUUUUCAAGAUUCCAAGUUGAUUUUGUUCAAAAUCAUAUAAAGACAAUUCCUAUUUGAUAUAGCUAUUUGUGCAAGUAUUUUACGGUUAAGAAGCAACCGUCUAUUGUACAAAUUAUGUAUUAAUUUACUAUAACCAUGGGAGACUCCCUUUUUACAAAUUGUUGCUUUUAUCCGAGUGAUCCACAAAUGACGCAAACGUCACUUUUUCCUAUCCCUAUCCCGAUGAGCUGAAACUAAAGCUCUUAUUUUCUGUUGAGUAAUAGUUCUAUUUAGCCUUGAAUGAGCCCCUCAAAAGCUUGAUGCAAAUAAACGAAUUUUUGCUCUACGUUUCCAAGCUACAUAUCCCCUUUUAAUUCUGGUCAUUGAAUAAAUGAAACUUUGACGAAUAACUAAUUGAUUACCUUUCUUUUCCCCCUUCCUAGUCUAUUAAUAACAAAAUGGAUUUUUCCAAUGUAUAAAAUCAAAAUUCCAAUGGCUUUGGCUACUCUAACCUUCCCAACCAUGAUUUUUUUUUUAGGUAUUUCACUGCGCAAUAAGUAAGAAAUAAGAAAUUGUAUUUUCCUAGGUAUCAAAAAUAGAGUAAAUAAAAGAAAUAAAAAAAGAAAUAGUGGUUCCUUCGUUUCUAUGGUUACUGCUUAAACGAUGAGGUCUUCUCUAUACACCGGAGCCUUUACUUUAGACUUUAAUUUAAUAUAUAUUUAAUCAACUAAUUGAUGUUAUUGGGAACUUGUAUAGUUCACACGCUUUGGCUCUACCCAUGAAUUAUCCAGUAAUAGGUCUUUCACAAUCAGAUCUACCUAUACAGUAACGGUAUUUAAUUAUGAAAGUUUGCUGGGUAGCUGACCCUCUUAGUCCGUUCUUGCCAGAUUGGGAGCCUAACUAAUCUUUAUGUUUUAUGCUUUUAAAAUAAGAUUUAC
rnacentral:lncRNA from 1 species